rnacentral:lncRNA from 1 species
CUUAAAUGCUCUUUUCAAGAAGACUGAAUAGAUUUUUCUGGAGGAGUUUAUGCAUGUUUUCAUUAGGUGCCCUUUCUCUUCUACAGAUGGAAGUUGGAAAUCUUGGUCCUGCAGAAUCUAGAGCUUCAAAGUGGAAAACUUGUAUGCUCCUUCUUCAGAACAGAAGCAGCAGCAGCAACAACAACAACAAAACCCUCAAGAGUAAGUAUCUUCACACUGAAGUAAAUCUAUCAGCCAGCAUUGCCAUGUCUCUGCAUGGAGUGAUAUACAGAGCUGGCUCCAUUUCCUCCUCCUCCAGAUUGGAAUCUCAGCUGGAGACAGGAAGACAUGAGCUUUCUUAAAAUCCCCUCAGCAUCCCCUUUAUUACAAAGCUGGCAGCUGCUACUCUAUCAGUACUCACACAUUUUAAGGUAUCUUUUGAA